rnacentral:rRNA from 1 species
UACGAAGGGUGCAAGCGUUAAUCGGAAUUACUGGGCGUAAAGCGCGCGUAGGUGGUUCAGCAAGUUGGAUGUGAAAGCCUUGGGCUCAACCUGGGAACUGCAUCCAAAACUACUGAGCUAGAGUACGGUAGAGGGUAGUGGAAUUUCCUGUGUAGCGGUGAAAUGCGUAGAUAUAGGAAGGAACACCAGUGGCGAAGGCAGCCUCCUGGGCCGGCACUGACGCUCAUGCACGAAAGCGUGGGGAGCAAACAGGAUUAGAAACCCCAGUAGU